GCCUCUAUGGCGCAGUGGCAACGCGUCGCACUUGUAUGUCGAGCAAUGCGAAGAUCGAGAGUUCAAUUCUCUCUGGAGGCA